GAUUGGUUAGUUUAAUUGGGAAAACACUUCUGAAAGACAAGAGGUAAUAUUGGUUCAAGUCCGAUAUCAAUCG
rnacentral:tRNA from 1 species